AACGAACGUUGAUGGCGUGCCUCAUACAUGCAAGUCGAGCGGGUAGCAAUACCAGCGGCGGACGGGUGAGUAACACGUAAACAAUCUGCCCUAAAGCGGGGGAUAACUAUCCCAACGGAUAGCUAAUACCGCAUGAGGAUGGGGACGGCAUCGUCCCUUCUCGAAAGCCUUCGGGCGCUUUAGGAUGAGUUUGCGGCCCAUUAGCUUGUUGGCGGUGUAACGGACCACCGAGGCGACGAUGGGUAUCCGGCCUGAGAGGGUGUACGGACACAUUGGGACUGAGAUACGGCCCAGACUCCUACGGGAGGCAGCAGUAGGGAAUUUUGCGCAAUGGAGGAAACUCUGACGCAGCAACGCCAUGUGUGGGAUGAAGCAUUUCGGUGUGUAAACCACUGUCAGCAGGGAAUAAAUGGUCGCUUCGGCGGCAGUUGAAUGUACCUGCAGAGGAAGCCCCGGCUAACUUCGUGCCAGCAGCCGCGGUAAUACGAGGGGGC
rnacentral:rRNA from 1 species